ACACUAAAGAAGAAAAGGAGGGGGAGGAGGAAGAAGAGAUUAGAUUAAACCUGGAGCAAAGAAAAAACCAGAAAAUUGGUGAAAAAUUAAUCAACGGACCUAUGCACUCCUUUAGACCGUUCUGCUCUCAAACGAACCCGGAAGAGAGAGAUACCUGUGUUAUACUAGAUGUUGGAGGAGACAGGUUUAUGGUUCCUCGAAAACACUUAUCUAACUACCCAACCACGAGGUUGGGUAAACUGAUGAGAGCCGGAAGUAUAAAAAAAGUUCUGGAAUUUUGCGAUGAAUUUUUUCCAGG